UCCCUAUGGGGUGCAGCAGCCGCGAAACCUCUACAAUGUACGCAAGUACGAUAGGGGAAUCCCGAGUGCUCAUGUUCUGCAUGGGCUUUUGUCAAGUGUAAAAAGCUUGGCGAAUAAGUGGUGGGUAAGACUGGUGCCAGCCGCCGCGGUAACCCCAGCACCACAAGUGGCAAUCACGUUUAUUGGGCCUAAAGCGUUCGUAGCCGGUUUAGUAAGUUCUGGGUGAAAUCGUUCUGCUCAACAGAACGGCGUGCCUGGAGUACUGCUAAACUUGAGACCGGAGAAGAGUUAGGAGUAUGUCGGGGGGAGCGGUAAAAUGCUAUAAUCCCCGAUGGACUACCUGUGGCGAAGGCGCCUAACUAGAACGGGUCUGACGGUGAGGGACGAAAGCCAGGGGAGCAAUCCGGAUUAGAUACCCGAGUAGUCCUGGCUGUAAACGCUGUGAACUAGAUGUUGCGCAUUCUAUAUGAAUGCGCAGUGUCGGAGCGAAGGUGUUAAGUUCACCGCCUGGGAAGUACGGUCGCAAGGCUGAAACUUAAAGGAAUUGGCGGGGGAGCACCACAAGGGGUGCGGCGUGCGGUUUAAUCUAAUUCAACGCAGAGAAUCUCACCAGAAGCGACGGCAGGAUGAAGGUCAGAUUAAAGGUCUUACCUGACAAGCCGAGAAGUGGUGCAUGGCC
rnacentral:rRNA from 1 species